AUGCCUUACACAUGCAAGUCGAACGGCAGCACGGGUGCUUGCACCUGGUGGCGAGUGGCGAACGGGUGAGUAAUACAUCGGAACAUGUCCUGUAGUGGGGGAUAGCCCGGCGAAAGCCGGAUUAAUACCGCAUACGAUCUACGGAUGAAAGCGGGGGACCUUCGGGCCUCGCGCUAUAGGGUUGGCCGAUGGCUGAUUAGCUAGUUGGUGGGGUAAAGGCCUACCAAGGCGACGAUCAGUAGCUGGUCUGAGAGGACGACCAGCCACACUGGGACUGAGACACGGCCCAG
rnacentral:rRNA from 1 species